GCGUGUAGUGUAUGUUGUGUUAAAUGUGCACUUUCUGAACGUACACCCUUGUUCUGUUGCUGAACUGACCUGCUCAACGCCUGCAUGUUUUUCUGUCCUUCAGAAAAGAGGCAGUCCUUAGGAAGCUGGGAGAUAGGCCUGAAAUCCAGAACUAUGAGACUUUAGCAAAACUUCACAAACUCUACGUAGAGAAAGGGCACUCAGAGGGAACAGACCCAGCAGCAACACUGACCAUCAAUGAGGCCUUCAGUGAACUGAAAAUCGAGAACGAAAAGAAGAAAAAUGACAUCCUUACUAUAGUUGGUGAGGAUUUAAUGAACCUUUGGAAGCUCUUCAACACUGCGGAGGAGGUCACAAAGGGAAAAAGCUUUUCUAAUUGGCAAUCAAAGCUUUCAAAAAUAUGGACAGACAUAAACAAAAAGCUUCCGGAGGACAUUAUUGGUCUGCUGCGUGUUUUGCGCAAAGACAAAAGAGACAAAAAUCCUCAUCCAGAUCUGUAACAUCUCUAUUCCUGUUAUUUGACCCGUGUACUCAUUUCAGUUCAGUUCCAUUAUUAUGUAUAUGGAGGUUGUCAAGUGUUGGUGAGUUUAUCUGACUGUAAUGCUUCUGUUUUUCAGUUAAUUCACUCUGCCUCUUUUGUUUCUAACAGAAAUGUCAAUGAUGGGUUUAAAAAGAAGAAGAUUUUUGACCUCUUCCCGGACUUUUUCAUCAGUUUACACAGAGUGGCUAAAGACUUGAGCUGGAAGUAUUGAAGAUGCUGAGAGGACGUUACACCACAACAUACCAAAAGCAUUUACAUUUUUAACAGUCGACAUCAGACUUCUCAUCAUUUGAAAUGGAGCAAUCAUUUUUGUUGACAUUUAAGCACUAUGCUCAGAAUUAUUACUUAUAGUUUUUCACAGUUACUAAGACAAAUUCUGAAUAGCCUAAACCAAUUUGUCAAAUAAAUCACUCUUUCUGCAAAACCUUAAACA
ensembl:lncRNA